AAUCCUUUAAAAUUUGUUGAAACUUGUUUUAUGACCCAGGAAGUAGUCAGAAGUAAAUAUUCUACGUGUGCUUGAAAAGAAUGUAUAUGCUGAAAUUGCAGCGUGUCCUAUAUAAGCCUAUUAUGUUAUUCUUGUCCAAAGCUUCUACAUCUUCAUCGAUUUUUUAUUUUUCCUAUCAAAUGAGAGAGGUGUGUUAAAGUCUCAUUCUGUGACUUUUGAUUUAAUUCUUAUAUUUCUGCUCAUUUUUGUCUUAUUAUUGAGACCAUAUUGUUGGAAGAAUAUAUAUUUAGAAUUGUUGUAUCUUCCUGGUUAAAUGAAACUUUCAUCAUUAUGUAGGCUCUAUCCCUAGUCAUACCCUUUAUCUUACAGAGUUGUUUUAUCUAAUAUUGACAUAGCUACAGGUAGUGAAUGUUGUGAUAUUCUGCCCAGAUCCUCCAUCAGGACUGAUGGUAUUCCCUUAGCUGCUGGAAGUGCUACCAGAUGACAGCCUUCACUCACCAGUCCUCUGCAGGAAUUGUCCUCGCCUCACCCAAGGCCACAGCCUGCAUCCUGUGACUGGUCAGAGCAAGGUUAGAAAGACCUAGUCUCCUUGCCAAAGCUCCCUCUCUUUCCCCUCUCUCUCCUCUGAGACUCCAGUUAAAUCCUGCACUUCCCAUCUCUCUCCUCUUCAUGCUUCCUUGUAGGUUUCUUCUAGCCUCUCUUUCAGUUCACCAGAAUCUUUUAACUAUCAAAUCUGAUGUUAAAUCCAGUUCCAUAUUUUCUAGUUGUUUUUCCUCUCACUUCUUUUGGUUGGUUGUUCUAUAUUGCUUUUUGAAGUUUGGCUUUAUCUCCAUAAACGAAGCAAUUGUAUUUUACUAAUGAUUUGACUGUCUAGAGUCCCUGUGAAUGUAUCAGUUUUUUUGUUUUGUUUUUGUUUUUCCUGUAUCCAGAUGCUGUCUCUCAGAGGUUUUUUUUUGUUUUUUUGCUGAUCCUUUCAUUUGAGAAUUUGUUUUUUUGGAAAUAAUUGAGAACUAAGAUGAUGAUAGCUUUCCCCAGAGCAAGGUUUUAUUUCCUCCAGUCAGGAACUUGGUAUGCUAGAUGCCUGAAGAGUGAAGCUCGAGGCCCUUGAGGUUUAGUUCCUCACUCCAGAGUAAGCCCUUUGGAGACCGAACCCACAAUGGAGAUUAUGGUAGGCACUAAACUCUGACCUGUGUUAUUUAACUCUGACCUGUGUUAUUUAGUACUGCAAGUCUACCAAACAAACAGCUGCCUCUCUGCUGCUUUCCAGAGUCCAAGGAAAAUGCAGCAGUAAUUUGGGAUGGAGGAGGGACCAAAGAGGAGGAUGCAUCCUGCUACUUCCAAAGAUGAUAUUCCCCAUCUCUUCCCUCUUUCGUCACUACCUUGAGCGAAAAUCCAACAGAGAUGCCUUUGAUUUAUGUAUCCUAUCACAUAGCUGUAUUUUAGCUGCAAAGAAUGCUGGAAAACUAGCAUUUUAAGGUUUUAUAGAGGGUGUUGUAGACAGAAUUCUAAGAUGAUCCCAUGAUCUCUGCUUCCUUGGUGUUGCAGCUACGAUUAGGUUACACUGCAUGGCAAAGGAAUUUUACAGAUCUAAUUAAGCUCCCAAAUCGGCUGAAUUUGAGUUCAUAAGGGAAAUUAUUCUAUGGGUCUAAUAUAAUUAUAUGAGUUCUUUAAAAGCAGAGUUUUCUCCAGCUGGUAGCAUAAGAUGUAAUGAGAGAGAUUCCAAGUGUGAGAAGGACUGAACACGCCACUGCUGCCUAGAAGAUGGAAGGAGCCACGUGGCAAGGAAUUCCAGUUCCUGGAAGCUGUGAGCACCCUCCAAUCUCCCCGCCCUCCAGCAGCCAGCAAGGAAACAGGGGCCUCAGUCCUACAAUCACAAGGAAUGGAACUCUGCAAAUAACAGAACAUGAUACAACUAGGAGUAGCUGAGGCUGCCUCAUCCCUGAAGUGGACUGCUCAGCUAUUCUGUUUACCUAAAGAGGUUUGCAAAAGGAUUGCUGUGCACAAACUGAGCUUCGUGGAUUAACUAUCCAGUAGCUGUUCUCCUGAGAGAACAGAACCACCUGGCAAGCUUAAAGGCAAGUGUUUCCUUUCUUUUAAUUAAAUAGGCUGUGUUAAAAUUAACAUCAAAACCGGCCUUGAACCAACCAGCCCACCAUGAUGUAGUGCAAAUCUCCCAGUGACAAAAUACCAUCAGAGAGGCUACACGUUGGUCUCCAGCCCCAGCAAACGUCCCAUUCUCUCCACAUUCUUAUCAAUUGUAGCUUGACAUGUUAUCUCCUUGGCACAUUCCAUAGGAAACCAGCCCCUUUCUCCAUCUCGCAGUCUUUCCCCUUCAUACCAGCCUGCAAAGAAGAGCAGAGUCCUCAUGGGGCACCAAGUAUUUGGAUGAAUCUUGACUGUUCAGCUCCGAGGGAGGACGAUAUGGGCAAAUUUCAGAGGCAGUAUCCUGCCCCAGGUUGGGUACCACGGAUGAUGCAAGAGGACGAAGCUGAAGUCUGAACUCUUAAGUACCUGCUCACAGUAAAACUGCUAAGUGGUAGAGUCAGAAUAUACGCCAGGCAGCCGGGGAUCAAAGAGGUGGUGCCCCCUAGCAGGUGCUUACAAGAUAACGAGGGACC